rnacentral:rRNA from 1 species
UACGUAGGGUCCGAGCGUUGUCCGGAAUUAUUGGGCGUAAAGAGCGCGCAGGCGGUCGUUCAAGUCGAGUGUGAAAGCCCCCGGCUCAACUGGGGAGGGUCACUCGAUACUGAUCGACUCGAAGGCAGGAGAGGGUAGUGGAAUUCCCGGUGUAGUGGUGAAAUGCGCAGAUAUCAGGAGGAACACCGGUGGCGAAGGCGGGUCUCUGGGCCGAUACUGACGCUGAGGAGCGAAAGCGUGGGGAGCGAACAGG